rnacentral:rRNA from 1 species
UGGGGAAUUUUGGACAAUGGGCGAAAGCCUGAUCCAGCAAUGCCGCGUGUGUGAAGAAGGCCUUCGGGUUGUAAAGCACUUUUGUCCGGAAAGAAAUCCUUGGCUCUAAUACAGUCGGGGGAUGACGGUACCGGAAGAAUAAGCACCGGCUAACUACGUGCCAGCAGCCGCGGUAAUACGUAGGGUGCAAGCGUUAAUCGGAAUUACUGGGCGUAAAGCGUGCGCAGGCGGUUUGCUAAGACCGAUGUGAAAUCCCCGGGCUCAACCUGGGAACUGCAUUGGUGACUGGCAGGCUAGAGUAUGGCAGAGGGGGGUAGAAUUCCACGUNUAGCAGUGAAAUGCGUAGAGAUGUGGAGGAAUACCGAUGGCGAAGGCAGCCCCCUGGGCCAAUACUGACGCUCAUGCACGAAAAGCGUGGGGGAGCAAACAGGAUUAGAUACCCUGGUAGUCCACGCCCUAAACGAUGUCAACUAGUUGUUGGGGAUUCAUUUCCUUAGUAACGUAGCUAACGCGUGAAGUUGACCGCCUGGGGAGUACGUCGCAAGAUUAAAACUCAAAGGAAUUGACGGGGUCAUAGCUGUUUCCU